rnacentral:rRNA from 1 species
AUACGGAGGGUGCAAGCGUUAUCCGGAAUCAUUGGGUUUAAAGGGUCCGUAGGCGGAUAAUUAAGUCAGGGGUGAAAUCCCACAGCUCAACUGUGGCACUGCCUUUGAUACUGGUUAUCUUGAGUUAUAGGGAAGUAGAUAGAAUAUGUAGUGUAGCGGUGAAAUGCAUAGAUAUUACAUAGAAUACCGAUUGCGAAGGCAGUUUACUAUCUGUAUACUGACGCUAAGGGACGAAAGCGUGGGGAGCGAGCAGGAUUAGAAACCCCUAGUAGUCC